rnacentral:tRNA from 1 species
GCAGUCGUGGCCGAAUGGUUAAGGCGAUGGACUAGAAAUCCAUUCGGGUCUACCCUGCACAGGUUCGAAUCCUGUCUGCUGCG